rnacentral:tmRNA from 1 species
GGGGGCGACUUGGCUUCGACGUGGGUUGCAAAGCAGCGCAGGGCAUACCGAGGACCCGCCACCUCGUAAAAAGCUGGAAACCAAUAGUCGCAAACGACGAAAAGUACGCUCUGGCCGCUUAACCGGCUGGACCUCACACCCUGCUGUCCGUGGAGGGGCUCAAAGCCGCAAGGCUGCGAUGAGUGAGGUCAUUUACACGGAAUCGUGACGCGCAGUGCUACUUUGCGCGGCAUUAAACUCAAGGUGGCUCGCUUCGCACCAGCCCG